rnacentral:rRNA from 1 species
CCUACGGGAGGCAGCAGUGGGGAAUAUUGCACAAUGGGCGAAAGCCUGAUGCAGCGACGCCGCGUGAGGGAUGACGGCCUUCGGGUUGUAAACCUCCUUCAGCAGGGAAGAAGCGAAAGUGACGGUACCUGCAGAAGAAGCGCCGGCUAACUACGUGCCAGCAGCCGCGGUAAUACGUAGGACGCAAGCGUUGUCCGGAAUUAUUGGGCGUAAAGAGCUCGUAGGCGGCUUGUCACGUCGGGUGUGAAAGCCCGGGGCUUAACCCCGGGUCUGCAUUCGAUACGGGCUAGCUAGAGUGUGGUAGGGGAGAUCGGAAUUCCUGGUGUAGCGGUGGAAUGCGCAGAUAUCAGGAGGAACACCGGUGGCGAAGGCGGAUCUCUGGGCCAUUACUGACGCUGAGGAGCGAAAGCGUGGGGAGCGAACAGGAUUAGAUACCCUGGUAGUCCACGCCGUAAACGGUGGGAACUAGGUGUUGGCGACAUUCCACGUCGUCGGUGCCGCAGCUAACGCAUUAAGUUCCCCGCCUGGGGAGUACGGCCGCAAGGCUAAAACUCAAAUGAAUUGACGGCUGAGAGNGCGAGCGACACGAGGAGAG